ensembl:lncRNA
AGGAGUGGUUCUGCAGGUGGUGACCACAGACCACUUCUCAGUUCCUAUGCUUUCUAGCUGAUGUUUUGGUCACUUUUGAAUGCUGGCGGUGCUUUCACUCUAGUGGUAGCAUGAGACGGAGUCUACAACCCACACAAGUGGCUCAGAUAGUGCAGCUCAUCCAGGAUGGCACAUCAAUACGAGCUGUGGCAAGAAGGUUUGCUGUGUCUGUCAGCGUAGUGUCCAGAGCAUGGAGGCGCUACCAGGAGACAGGCCAGUACAUCAGGAGACGUGGAGGAGGCCGUAGGAGGGCAACAACCCAGCAGCAGGACCUCUACCUCCACCUUUGUGCAAGGAGGAACAGGAGGAGCACUGCCAGAGCCCUGCAAAAUGACCUCCAGCAGGCCACAAAUGUGCAUGUGUCUGCUCAAACGGUGAGAAACAGACUCCAUGAGGGUGGUAUGAGGGCCCGACGUCCACAGGUGGGGGUUGUGCUUACAGCCCAACACCGUGCAGGACGUUUGGCAUUUGCCAGAGAACACCAAGAUUGGCAAAUUCGCCACUGGCGCCCUGUGCUCUUCACAGAUGAAAGCAGGUUCACACUGAGCACAUGUGACAGACGCGACAGAGUCUGGAGACGCCGUGGAGAACGUUCUAGGGCCUGCUACAUCCUCCAGCAUGACCGGUUUGACGGUGGGUCAGUAAUGGUGUGGGGUGGCAUUUCUUAGUGUUCCCUUUAUUUUUUUGAGCAGUGUAUAAGAUAUAUGUAUUAACCGUACUUAUCAAUAGUAGAUAGUAUUGUGUGAAUGAGUAGGCGUAGGCCAUUGGUAUCUAGGUAUGCGCACUAACGGUGUGUCUAUUGGUCAGGAGGUCAUGACACCGGGGGUAGGUGUGCUGCCGGGUAUAGUCUACUGAUGAUCUCCUAUCGGGGAUAAAUAUCGACCCCCAGUGCAUAAUGAUCAUAGUCUCUGAUCCUCCAAACGUCUGAAGCGCUAGGCUAAGCUAGUAGACUCGUCAUAGCGGCUGCAGAAAAAAAAAAAAAAAAAAAAAAAAACAUCAAUCCGUCCUGCGCAACUAUGCCUACUGACUGUAAGUAUUCAUAUGAGUGUAAUAUAUUAUUAUUAUUAUUAUUAUAUCAUGACUACGACCAUGUGUAUACGCGACCCAUAUCUGAUUAAUACAUAGUUUUUCCGCAGUGAUUUCUGACGUCGGCAAUGAGAGCGUGAAAAAGCAUCAGGGUCCACGUGCACCAGGUGCAUAUGAUAUUCGGUUGAAUAAUCAAAGAACAAUACUCGGAGAUCAGACCAAUGCGGGGGGCCAGCGGUAGUUAUGUGCCUAUUGUGAAUAGUGUGAAACAGUGGACCCCUGGAUCAAACCGUCUAUCCAAGAAAAAUCUCAAAAGACCGAACCGUGCUCUACCUCUACCCUGCUCCCCCGCUGGCCAUAGAUCAGCCGCAAAUUCCUUAUAAAAAGGGACGCAAGGACACCGCUCAUAGUGUUUUAACUCCAGAGAAUUUUAACUUGGUUCUCCAUGCAGUCAUAAACCCUCAAAUCGCGCAGCAAGGGGCUGUAUGGUCUGAGUCCAAACAAAAAGUGAUCGGGGCGGUGGAUGUGCAUGUGUCUGCGCCGCCUGCAGAGACCGUUACUGUACAGCCGGAUGGAGGCAUUCAGCAUGUCCUUGGUGACCCUCAGUAUGCACCACUACCAGAACUGACCGAUGAGGAUCUCGAGGGUCUUGUCGACAUUCUGUUGUGGCCCUCAGCGCUGUUGGAACAGCUCGACUUCACUCCCGCUCAUUGGAUAGACCCUCCAGCUACUUCCGUAGGGGGUACCGCCAGUGCAGAACCUGUAAACCAUCAGCCUGCAGCCCCCGCCUCUGGAUCACUACCCAUCAUCCAGGCCUCUAUCCACGAUCCGCCAGGCACUGAGUCCCUACGCCUACGGGGCAGUGGCUACGCUGCUACCAGGCGACUCAGCGGUUGCUGAUGAAUACAUUGCGGGUGGGCCAUGUAUCAACUGUUGUAAAGAAUGUGUUGAUAAAUUAACCUUGGUAACUACAGCGGCUGAUGUAAAUGCCUUAACCAUUGGUCGUCAGUGUAAACUGGGUGUAUUGUCUGUGAAACAUAUUGACAGCAGAUUUCAGGCUAUCGAAGAGCAAACGAAGCAGUCACUCAAGGCACUCGGGGCCAUCAAGGCCGAGAUAGCGUGUGAUCGUCGUGCUAAUGCAUCCCAGAAAGCCGAGCUAGUGCGUUAUGGUCUGGCUAUAGCAUCAAUACAGCAGAAUAAUUUGGCUGUCGAGGCAGCAGUGCGUGUUAACACUCUGGCUUUGGAUAGGGGGCCUAAGAUAUCUAAUAUAGCUCGGAAAAUUUGGCUAAUUGAAGAUACGGCGCAGGAUAACAUCAGGGCCUACAAGGCCAUGUCUGCCCGGAUGACUGUUAUGAAUAAUGCUCUGGAUAAGCUUACGAUGAAUCGUUAGUAUUUGAUUUGUGGUUUUGGUGUGUUCUUUUUAUUUUUUGUUUGUUUGCUUUUUCGUUUAUUCUGUGGAGGGUAUUUUUUGUUUUAAACUGAACGUUAUAAAACUUUUUUCUUUUAAUAUCUGACUAAUUAACUUUUUUUUUUUUUUUUUUAAUCUAAUGGCAUAAAAACUAUAGCUGAACACUAUGCAUAAAGCUAUUAGCCCUAGAAAAAGGAAAUUCAAAUCUGUAGACGUAAAUCCCAAGAGACGGCGUAGAUCUGAUAGCGGGGAUAGCAUUAUGGAUGUAGAUCUUGAAGAGAUGGCUAUGAGGUAUGAUGCAACCGGCGAUACGUCUCAUUUGCUGGCUGUAGGACGUGUGGGGGGUGGGGGCAUGAGUGCUGAAGGUGGUUUAGACAUGCGGGAAAUACGUGCUGACAUAGCUAGAACUAGACGUGUGUUAAUUGCUGCUGAUGCCUGGGGGGGUCGAAUGACAGAUGCGCUAGACAGGGCUGCUAUGAUAAAUGUUUCGAACGAUCCAUGUGUAGAUGGCGGGGAGGUGUGUGUGGAGUUAGAUGUCCCCGGGGAUUUAGACACACGGGAUGUGUUGUAUGCGGCGGCAUACACCAGAGAUGUACUUAACACUGUAGAUGGGUGGCUGGCUAGUGCACAAGAGAGGCUAGACAUAGCCGCUCAGAUAGACAUAACAUCGCCGAUAGAUGUAUUGCAUGUGUCGCAACGUGACGAAGGGGAUGGCGAGGGUUUUCAGGAACACCUGGCUGCUGCAGGGGGUAGGACUGGUGACUCUAUAGAGUCGAAUAUACAGGACGGUGGUGGUGGUGGUGGCGGUGUUGAUGUUGAUGGUGACGAUGGCGGGGCUGAUGUUGAUGGCUGUGGUGAUGAUGAUGGUGGUGAUGAUGGUACACCUGCGCCUAUGGGGGCGGGUGAUGAUAAUGACGAGUUGCAUACUAGAUUAUUUCCCCGCUUUAACGGUUUUGAGGUUAGAC